GAUGAACGCUGGCGGCGUGCCUAAUACAUGCAAGUCGAGCGAACAGACGAGGAGUUUGCUCCUUUGACGUUUGCGGCGGACGGGUGAGUAACACGGGGAUAACCUACCUAUAAGACUGGGAUAACUGCGGGAAACCGGAGCUAAUACCGGAUAACAUGUUGAACCGCAUGGUUCAACAGUGAAAGACGGGCUUGCUGUCACUUAUAGAUGGAUCCGCGCCGCAUUAGCUAGUUGGUAAGGUAACGGCUUACCAAGGCAACGAUGCGUAGCCGACCUGAGAGGGUGAUCGGCCACACUGGAACUGAGACACGGUCCAGACUCCUACGGGAGGCACCAGUAGGGAAUCUUCCGCAAUGGGCGAAAGCCUGACGGAGCAACGCCGCGUGAGUGAAGAAGGUCUUCGGAUCGUAAAACUCUGUUAUUAGGGAAGAACAAAUGUGUAAGUAACUAUGCACGUCUUGACGGUACCUAAUCAGAAAGCCACGGCUAACUACGUG
rnacentral:rRNA from 1 species